rnacentral:rRNA from 1 species
GACAGAGGGUGCAAACGUUGUUCGGAUUUACUGGGCGUAAAGCGCGUGUAGGCUGCUUUGCAAGUCGGAUGUGAAAUCCCACGGCUCAACCGUGGAAGUGCAUCCGAAACUGCAUCGCUCGAGUCUCGGAGAGGAAGGUGGAAUGCUUGGUGUAGAGGUGAAAUUCGUAGAUAUCAAGCAGAACACCUGCGGCGAAGGCGGCCUUCUGGACGAUGACUGACGCUGAGACGCGAAAGCGUGGGGAGCAAACAGG